AUUGAACGCUGGUGGCAGGCCUAACACAUGCAAGUCGAGCGGAGAGGCUGACGGGUGAGUAAUGCCUAGGAAUCUGACUGAUAGUGGGGGAUACCGUCCGGAACCGGGCGCUAAUACCGCAUACUAUCAGAUGAGCCUAUGUCGGAUUAGCUAGUUGGUGGGGUAAAGGCCUACCAAGGCGACGAUCCGUAACUGGUCUGAGAGUAUGAUCAGUCACACUGGAACUGAGACACGGUCCAGACUCCUACGGGAGGCAGCAGAGGGGAAUAUUGGACAAUGGGCGAAAGCCUGAUCCAGCAAGGCCGCGUGUGUGAAGAAGGUCUGCGGAUUGAAAAGCACUUUAAGUUGGGAGGCGUUACCAACAGAAUAAGCACCGGCUAACUUCGUGCCAGCAGCCGCGGUAAUUC
rnacentral:rRNA from 1 species